AGCAUUAACGUGUUCUCUCUCUCGGAGACGGUCGCUUUCUUCUGCGCACUCAUCCAGGCGGACACACCAAUGCAUCGAUGCAUUUUGCCUAGAAACAAGUGGGCUGCUGUCGUAGCCACUGCAGGACAUCUUUCUGGAUGGUUUCAUCUUUCCUCCAAGGUGCUCUUUAAGGGGCCCAAACAAACGAUGGUGACCAGAGUACACUUCGUAGGAUGUAGCUCCAUGCGACAGGGUUUUACAGGAUGCGACGGGGAUAUUCCUAGCAACCCAGAGUUCAAUGAGCGCAAGUGUGGCGUGGAUUAUCGAGCAGACGCACGAAUAACAGCGAAACCGAAACUAUCCUCCCUCUUACGUCGCUCUGCGAGCACGAAUCAGCUUGCAAGAUACUUACAGGAGGGCAGACAUCGAGGCAAAAGGACACAGUCAUCUGGAACUUGACAGUGCUGUCCGAAGCGAAGCGAAAUGCCUGGAACGGCGCUAGCAAUGACUUGGAAGAAGGCUCCCGCUCGAAUCCAGGAAAGACAGAUGGCUCCACGGGGCAUCUGCAAUAAUAAAAGCGUCCUUAUUCUCCGA